GGGGGUUUAGCUCAGUUGGGAGAGCACCUGCUUUGCAAGCAGGGGGUCGUCGGUUCGAUCCCGUCAACCUCCA
rfam:Amantichitinum ursilacus strain IGB-41 contig20, whole genome shotgun sequence.